rnacentral:tRNA from 1 species
GCAGCCAUGGCACAAUCCGGUACUGCGGUAGCCUUGAGAGCUACUUUCCUUCGGGAUGUCCCGGUUCAAAUCCGGGUGGCUGCG